rnacentral:rRNA from 1 species
CACGUAGGGUGCGAGCGUUGUCCGGAAUUAUUGGGCGUAAAGAGCUCGUAGGCGGUCUGUCGCGUCGGCUGUGAAAACCUGGGGCUUAACCCCGGGCCUGCAGCCGAUACGGGCAGACUAGAGUACGGCAGGGGAGACUGGAAUUCCUGGUGUAGCGGUGAAAUGCGCAGAUAUCAGGAGGAACACCGGUGGCGAAGGCGGGUCUCUGGGCCGAAACUGACGCUGAGGAGCGAAAGCGUGGGGAGCAAACAGG